CAAAAGCGUCAUUACAAGUAAAACUCCUCACUUGACGAAUAUUUUCGUUGUUCCAAGGUAUAAAAGAGUGGUAUUUAACUUCAUGUAGAACUCUAGAAUAUUUAUUUGGCAAUCUGUAAUAGAUAAAUAGAUAUAUGAAAAUGAAUACAAAGAGUACCUAAUUUAUUGAAAUUUUGAAAACAAAUCAAGAAGUGGCGGAUUUUAUUCCCAGAAGAUAAGCCAGAUGUAUGAAAGCAUUCAGAGCGUAGCAGCCUACAAGUACUUUAUAAUUAGCCUUUUACCUAGGUUACUCUAUAAAAUAUUUGGAACGAAAUAUUCGAGGAAAGUAUUUCACAAAAGGGUUAGCACAGAUGAAUUGAUGUAUAUUUAGAGAAGGGAAUAAUGACCAACCUGUAAUAAAAUACUGCUAUGAGGAUUGUGAAACUCAGGAUCCAUAUGGAAUGUGUCUGGUAGACCAUUGUUCCUGGCCUUUAUUUUUACAGCGUUUGUACGGGUAAUAAGAGAUGGAAUGAAUAUUUUCUCAAAAUGUAAAUACGUAAUAUUAUGUAAUUUAUUUGUAUUAAAUAUUCUUGAAAAGAUGCACUGUUUCAUUGAAAAGGUGUAUUCAAUAUAGGUAUAUAUAAAACAGGAACACUAUAGUAGUAGUAAUAAACUUUAUUGAAACAAUGUUUCCAAGGGUUAACAACUCAGGUCUUCCUGCCCAGGAACAGUAUAAAAAUAAAAUCAAUACAAAAUAGAACUAGUUAGGGUAUACCCUAGUUAGAAAAACAGCAUAAAUAUAAUGAGUAUAAAUAAAAAUAUAACUAGUAUAA